CCUACGGGAGGCAGCAGUGGGGGAUAUUGCACAAUGGGGGAAACCCUGAUGCAGCGACGCCGCGUGUGGGAAGACGGUCUUCUGGAUUGUAAACCACUGUCCCCAGGGACGAAAAUGACGGUACCUGGGGAGGAAGCUCCGGCUAACUACGUGCCAGCAGCCGCGGUAAUACGUAGGGAGCAAGCGUUGUCCGGAAUUACUGGGUGUAAAGGGAGCGUAGGCGGGGAUGCAAGUUGGGUGUCAAAACUACCGGCUCAACCGAUAGUCGCACUCAAAACUGCAGCUCUUGAGUGAAGUAGAGGCAGGCGGAAUUCCUAGUGUAGCGGUGAAAUGCGUAGAUAGUAGGAGGAACACCGAUUGCGAAGGCAGCAUACCGGCGCCCAACUGACGCGGAAGCACGAAAGCGUGGGUAUCGAACAGGAUUAGAUACCCUUGUAGUC
rnacentral:rRNA from 1 species